GGGUUAAGUCCCGCAACGAGCGCAACCCUUGUCAUCAGUUGCUACGAAAGGGCACUCUGAUGAGACUGCCGGUGACAAACCGGAGGAAGGUGGGGAUGACGUCAGGUCCUCAUGGCCCUUAUGGGUAGGGCUACACACGUCAUACAAUGGCCGGUACAGAGGGCUGCCAACCCGCGAGGGGGAGCCAAUCCCAGAAAACCGGUCGUAGUCCGGAUCGCAGUCUGCAACUCGACUGCGUGAAGUCGGAAUCGCUAGUAAUCGCGGAUCAGCUUGCCGCGGUGAAUACGUUCCCGGGUCUUGUACACACCGCCCGUCACACCAUGGGAGCGGGUUCUGCCAGAAGUAGUUAGCCUAACCGCAAGGAGGGCGAUUACCACGGCAGGGUUCGUGACUGGGGUGAAGUCGUAACAAGGUAGCCGUAUCGGAAGGUGCGGCUGGAUCACCUCCUUU
rnacentral:rRNA from 1 species